ensembl:lncRNA
UGACACGAGUGAACAGGACUGUUUCUUGCCUUGACAAACACUGGUGCAGGCCCGUGUCAACGAUAAAGGCAAAUCUCCAUUCAAAUGGAGCCAGUUGGUGGAGCUGUGUGCAGGCAAUUAUAGUUGACAGCCCAGCGAUUGCAAACCUCAGCGACAGCAUGAAAGAUAAGUUCUCUGACAGUAAGAUGGCAAUUCCUGGGCCACAAACGAUACCACUGGAGAACACCCCCAAAACUGAAGCUCUCCCAAAAGCAUUGCAGCAGGACCAUUCAUUGACCACGGUAGAGUUAAUGAUGUCUGCGCGCUGACUGCCAGAUCCAACAGCACCGAAGGCAAAAGCCUCCUGUGCAUUUGUGUUCAGACCCAAUUCUUACCCCCAGGCCCAGGCAACCACUGAUCUGCUUUCUGUCUGAACAGUUUUAUAUGCGGAUGAAACAGGGGAUGUCUUGCAAACAGUAUCUGCUGGGCACUUGGGAUGAAGCAAAACACAGACCAGUUGACUAUUUUUCAUAGUCUCAGAAAAA